GCGCUAUAGGGUUGGCCGAUGGCUGAUUAGCUAGUUGGUGGGGUAAAGGCCUACCAAGGCGACGAUCAGUAGCUGGUCUGAGAGGACGACCAGCCACACUGGGACUGAGACACGGCCCAGACUCCUACGGGAGGCAGCAGUGGGGAAUUUUGGACAAUGGGCGAA
rnacentral:rRNA from 1 species